rnacentral:rRNA from 1 species
CCCGCUGAACUUAAGCAUAUCAAUAAGCGGAGGAAAAGAAACUAACAAGGAUUCCCCUAGUAACUGCGAGUGAAGCGGGAAAAGCUCAAAUUUAAAAUCUGGCGAUCUUGCGGCCGUCCGAGUUGUAAUCUGGAGAAGCGUUUAUCCGCGUCGGACCGUGUACAAGUCUUCUGGAAGGGAGCGUCGUAGAGGGUGAGAAUCCCGUCUUUGACACGGACAACCGGUGCUUUUGUGAUGCGCUCUCGAAGAGUCGAGUUGUUUGGGAAUGCAGCUCAAAAUGGGUGGUAAAUUCCAUCUAAAGCUAAAUAUUGGCGAGAGACCGAUAGCGAACAAGUACCGUGAGGGAAAGAUGAAAAGCACUUUGGAAAGAGAGUUAAACAGUACGUGAAAUUGUUAAAAGGGAAACGAUUGAAGUCAGUCGCGUCUACUUGGACUCAGCCUUACCUCGGUUUGGUGCAUUUCCUUGUGGACGGGCCAGUGUCCAUGUUGAUUGCUGGAAAAGGUUCAGGGGAAUGUGGCUCUUUUAGAGUGUUAUAGCCUCUGUUCAUAUACAGUAGUUGAUAUGGAGUGAUACAGCAUGCUUCGGCGGUGCUUGUACUGGCAUAAUGGCUUUAAACGACCCGUCUUGAAACACGG